rnacentral:sRNA from 1 species
UCAUCAUCAUCAGCCUUUAUCUGCCCACU